rnacentral:rRNA from 1 species
UGGCGGCGUGCUUAACACAUGCAAGUCGAACGAUGAAGCCCUUUCGGGGGUGGAUUGGUGGCGAACGGGUGAGUAACACGUGGGUAAUCUGCCCUGCACUCCGGGACAAGCCCUGGAAACGGGGUCUAAUACCGGAUACGACUGUCGACCGCAUGGUGGGGAGGUGGAAAGCUCCGGCGGUGCAGGAUGAGCCCGCGGCCUAUCAGCUUGUUGGUGGGGUGAUGGCCUACCAAGGCGACGACGGGUAGCCGGCCUGAGAGGGCGACCGGCCACACUGGGACUGAGACACGGCCCAGACUCCUACGGGAGGCAGCAGUGGGGAAUAUUGCACAAUGGGCGGAAGCCUGAUGCAGCGACGCCGCGUGAGGGAUGACGGCCUUCGGGUUGUAAACCUCUUUCAGCAGGGAAGAAGCUUUUGUGACGGUACCUGCAGAAGAAGCACCGGCUAACUACGUGCCAGCAGCCGCGGUAAUACGUAGGGCGCGAGCGUUGUCCGGAAUUAUUGGGCGUAAAGAGCUCGUAGGCGGCCUGUCGCGUCGGAUGUGAAAGCCCGGGGCUUAACCCUGGGUCUGCAUUCGAUACGGGCAGGCUCGAGUUCGGUAGGGGAGAUCGGAAUUCCUGGUGUAGCGGUGAAAUGCGCAGAUAUCAGGAGGAACACCGGUGGCGAAGGCGGAUCUCUGGGCCGAUACUGACGCUGAGGAGCGAAAGCAUGGGGAGCGAACAGGAUUAGAUACCCUGGUAGUCCAUGCCGUAAACGUUGGGCACUAGGUGUGG